CCUACGGGAGGCAGCAGUGAGGAAUAUUGGACAAUGGGCGCAAGCCUGAUCCAGCCAUGCCGCGUGCAGGAAGAAGCAUCUAUGGUGUGUAAACUGCUUUUGUACAGGAAGAAACACUCCCUCGUGAGGGAGCUUGACGGUACUGUAAGAAUAAGGACCGGCUAACUCCGUGCCAGCAGCCGCGGUAAUACGGAGGGUCCGAGCGUUAUCCGGAAUCAUUGGGUUUAAAGGGUCCGUAGGCGGUUUAAUAAGUCAGUGGUGAAAUCUGGUCGCUCAACGAUCAAACGGCCAUUGAUACUGUUAGACUUGAAUUAUAAGGAAGUAACUAGAAUAUGUAGUGUAGCGGUGAAAUGCUUAGAUAUUACAUGGAAUACCAAUUGCGAUGGCAGGUUACUACUUAUGGAUUGACGCUGAUGGACGAAAGCGUGGGGAGCGAACAGGAUUAGAUACCCUGGUAGUCCACGCCGUAAACGAUGGAUACUAGCUGUUCGGAGGCAAUCUGAGUGGCUAAGCGAAAAGUGAUAAAGUAUCCCACCUGGGGAGUAACGUUCGCAAGAAAUGAAACUUCAAAGGAAUUGACGG
rnacentral:rRNA from 1 species